UCAGGAGAAGCGUCAUAAAGGCUCAAUAUUCUGACCACUGGAAACAGUCCCGGACACCCCGUCCACUGCCAUGCAACCUAUAGGAGGCGCUCUCUAAUGACCUAAGAGGCUCUGCAUCUGGAAACAAUAAGGAAAAAACACUGAGAGACAACCUGUAGUCUCCCAUCAAUGAGGGGUCAUGUGUCAUGGCAUACAAGUGGCAUACAGAAGACAACGUGGGGAAAACAGCUCUGUCUUCCUACCUCAUAGAUCCUGGGGCCAAACUAAGGUGAUUAGGCUUGGAAGCAAGAUCUCUACCUGCAGAGUUAUCUCAUCAGCCCCUAUAGUAGCAUCUCAUCUGCACAUAAAAGUAUAUGUUAUCAUUCGCAACCAAGUUAACUUCCUAAUCUCUGAGUAGCUUAGGAAUAAAACCUUACUGACUAUUGUUCAUGGGUCUGAAGGUACUCUACUCACUAUUAGAAGAGAAAGGUAGCCACCAGCACAACAAUAAACCCUGUGAUCUACAAGUGAUGUGCCCUGUGACAUGCUGGUGCACUGGUGGCAUACAUGUUAUGGAUGUAACCACUCGUUCUCUGAUUGUAUUUAAAGCCCACUCUUCAAAAUAGAACCCAUGCCUGGCACUGCCCGGGUAGCCAAAAGCCUGAGACAAGAUAGGCCAUGAAUCUAGAGGAAAACAAAAUACCAAGUACUGCUAGAGGAAUAUAACAAUAUAAAAUGACUUCCAAGGACAAGCUGCUAUGCCCAUAGACCAUCAUCAGACAAGCUUCCCCUUGUAGUAAAUGGAAACUAAACCAGAAACUCACAACUGGACAAUGUGUGAAGAACGAGAGAUUUCUGGAACACUUAGUCAUAAAUAAGAUCUCUUCAUUAAAGCCCUCCCCUCAGAGCUCAGGGAACUAAUGCUGAAGAGAGACAGAAAUAUAGCAAGAACCAGAGGGGUCCUAUGACAUCAUGGAAAGAGUGCUUCAGAAACCCCAGCCCAACAGGGUUAAUGUGCACGUGAUCCCACAAAGACUGUGGCAGCAUGCACAGGGCUGGCACAAGUUCAAACCAGAUGGGGCCCCAGUGCGGAGGGGUGUUGAGGGGACGGGACUAGAUAUUCCAAGGCUAUCUCCAAUGACACCUGCCUGCAAGAAAAAAAAAAAACACUUUUCUCUAAUGAAGCUUCACUGGGUGUGUUAACCACACUUACAUGUUUGACCCGGGCCCAGCAGAAGAUUGCCAACACAAAUUUGACUCAGUUAUAUUGUUGUAGACAGUCUGUCUUAUAUUCUGUUGCUUGGGCCUUUUUUCCUAUUGGUUGUUUGCUUGUAAUAUGUUUAUGAUUUCUAAUUUUGUGUUUGUGUGUGUGUGUGUGUGUGUGUGUGUGUGUGUGUGUGUGUGUGUUUGCAUGCGCAAGAAUGUAAGUGUUUGGUUUUCUUUGUGCUUUGCUCUUAAUUCUGGUUUGCUUAGGGUAUUUUUGCAGAAGAGAAUGAGAAACAACCGUAUGGAGGUCUGGGAGUGGGAAAGUAAGGAGAGUCUCGGAGAGGGGAACCGUGAUCAGAAUAUAUUUUAUGAAACAGUAGUUUUUUCAGCAAAAUCAGAAUUAUUUUUUUGUUUUCUGUUUUCUUGCCUUUUUAUUGUUUGGAAUUUUGGUGGGGGUUCAUGUGGGGUCUUUUGAGAUAAGGCUCUGUGAUAUACACCAGGCUGGCUCUGAACUCAUGUGCCUCCCACCUCAGUCCCCUCAGAAGUCAGGAUUGCAAACAUCUACCAACAUUAUCUAGUUAUUAAGAAUAGUUUUGAAUGGGAAGGGCUAUGAUAAAACCAUCAAUCAUGAUAUAUGAAACCUUCAUUUAUGCUUAUAAUCCAAAAUAUUCAUUAAAGUAAACUUGGAAAUGGUUAAAAUAUAAAAUAGCAGAAUAAACUACAUUAAAUUGAACAUUAAACAAAUAUAUUUGUGCAAGAGAGACUGGAUCUGC